UAGGUGAACCUGCGGAAGGAUCAUUGA
rnacentral:rRNA from 1 species